GACGAACGCUGGCGGCGUGCUUAACACAUGCGAGUCGAACGGUGAAGCGCCUUCCUUUUUGGUGGGUGUGGAUGAGUGGCGAACGGGUGAGUAACACGUGAGUAACCUGCCCCCUUCUUCUGGAUAACCGCAUGAAAGUGUGGCUAAUACGGGAUAUUCUGGGUCUGUCGCAUGAUGGGUCUGGGAAAGAUAUUGUUUCGGUGGGGGAUGGGCUCGCGGCCUAUCAGCUUGUUGGUGGGGUGAUGGCCUACCAAGGCGGUGACGGGUAGCCGGCCUGAGAGGGUGGACGGUCACACUGGGACUGAGACACGGCCCAGACCCGUGCGGGAGGCAGCAGUGGGGAAUAUUGCACAAUGGGCGCAAGCCUGAUGCAGCGACGCCGCGUGAGGGAUGGAGGCCUGCGGGUUGUGAACCUCUUUCGCCAGUGAAGCAGGCCUGCCUCGUUUGUGGGUGGGUUGACGGUAGCUGGAUAAGAAGCGCCGGCUAACUACGUG
rnacentral:rRNA from 1 species